CAGUCGUGGGGAAGCUCAGACUGCUCUCAACUGUUAACGCUGUUUACACAUACCGGGCUACACUGACUACCUCUUUGUGGGAAGUUGUUUACAUGAAUUUAUUUUGGGAAAAUUCCAUUAGACGGGACCAAGAUUUCUUCAUAAAUCAUUGAAUCUUGCUUGUGUACUGAUAAAAUCUGGGUAGCAAUUCAUUCUUCUGGGCACUGUCUAGUGGGGAAAAAUUCAUCCAGCUGCAACAUUGUUAUAGAAUAAACUGAGAGAAUAUGAGUGGAUAAGAAUCAGAGAGAUCAUCCAGUCCAAACUCCAUCAUCUUAAGGGGAAUGUGAAUACCCAGAGAAAAUGACAUGAUAUCACAAAUAAUCAACAAACUGAUAAAUGAAGCCCUCAUUUGUGACUUGGCUCUCACAAUAAGAGAUGGCUCCUGCCAAUCUUAGGAUAUAUGUAAAGUGGCAUAUACAUGGAUUGUUUUGUGCAGAUCUGUGAUUUCAUUGAGAAUCUCCAAGGGAAAGAGUUUCCCCAACUUCUCCAAAGUUUCCAUUUUGGGGAUCCCAGUACCCACCACAGCCAAGACUUGUCUGGACUAAUCCUCAGGCUGUCCUGCUGCUAUUUAAGCCUAUUUGCCCUUGUUCCAUCCAGGCUGAAAGAAGAGCUGUACAGGGACCCAGGGAAGAUGCAUUUUCCAAUCCAAUCAAGAGUUCUUAAAUAGAAGAUUCCAUCACAGGAUUAUAUAUUUAGACCUGGAGGGGAUCUGAAAGAUUUUACAGCUGGAAAGAACCUAGAGGGAGGAG
rnacentral:lncRNA from 1 species